GACAGAGGGUGCAAACGUUGCUCGGAAUUACUGGGCGUAAAGCGCGUGUAGGCGGGUUUGAAAGUCAGAUGUGAAAGCCCUGGGCUCAACCCAGGAACUGCAUUUGAAACUUCAAGUCUUGAGUGUCGGAGAGGAAAGCGGAAUUCCUGGUGUAGAGGUGAAAUUCGUAGAUAUCAGGAGGAACACCGGUGGCGAAGGCGGCUUUCUGGACGAUAACUGACGCUGAGACGCGAAAGCGUGGGGAGCAAACAGG
rnacentral:rRNA from 1 species